UAAAUCUUGGUAAUUUUAUAGAUCGUAAAAUUGACGUUAAUUAGUAUUUUUGGUUAAUCACCCGAGGGCUUAUUUAUUCAAUCUCCAUUUUAAAAUGCUGGGAGAAAAUAUUUAGUGAUGCUAUAAAGAUAUUAACGCGAAAAAGCUCUUUUAACAUUUUAAAAUGAAGUUGAUAUAAAUAAGCACUCAGGUCACUAAUUGUUAAUUGAUGAUGCAGAGAUUAAUCAGAUGAUGUGUUUGUUCAAAAUAGACACAGUUAAAAACUAUUGAUAAUUGUCAUGUUUUGUUAAUUUGUUAAUGCGUAAGUAAAAAUAUCUUUUAUUUUACAAAGUUAUAGGUAUUUUUUUAAAACCACAACUUGUAAUGAUUUUUAUUUUAUCUAUUUGAACGAAAGUCUACGCAAAUAUCAAUAAACCUUUAUAAUGUAAAACCCAUAAGCAAAUACAAUCUUCGCAAAGGAAAAAAUCUAAAAGAACCAUUCUGCCAAACUAAAUUUGAACAACUAAUUAUUUCUCAUCGCGGUCCUUAUUCAUGGAAUAAAAAAGU